rnacentral:rRNA from 1 species
UGGGGGAUAUUGCACAAUGGGCGAAAGCCUGAUGCAGCGACGCCGCGUGGGGGAUGAAGGCUUUCGGGUUGUAAACCUCUUUCGCUAUCGAACAAGGCCCGCUUAGGGUGGGUUGAGGGUAGGUGGAGAAGAAGCGCCGGCUAACCACGUGCCAGCAGCCGCGGUAAUACGUAGGGCGCGAGCGUUGUCCGGAAUUAUUGGGCGUAAAGGGCUUGUAGGCGGCUUGUUGCGCCUGCUGUGAAAACGCGGGGCUUAACUUCGGGCGUGCAGUGGGUACGGGCAGGCUUGAGUGUGGUAGGGGUGACUGGAAUUCCAGGUGUAGCGGUGGAAUGCGCAGAUAUCUGGAGGAACACCGAUGGCGAAGGCAGGUCACUGGGCCAUUACUGACGCUGAGGAGCGAAAGCAUGGGUAGCGAACAGG